GUCGUGAGAUGUUGGGUUAAGUACCCGCCAACGAGCGCACCCCUACGCAUCCACGGUUGCCAUCGGGCGAGCCGGGCACUCUGGAGGGACUGCCGGCGACAAGCCGGAGGAAGGUGGGGAUGACGUCAAGUCAUCAUGGCCCUUAUGUCCAGGGCGACACACGUGCUACAAUGGCCGGCACAGCGGGAAGCGGAGGGGCGACCCUGAGCGGAUCCCUUGAAAGCCGGUCCCAGUUCGGAUUGCAGUCUGCAACUCGACUGCAUGAAGUUGGAAUCGCUAGUAAUCGCGGAUCAGCCAAGCCGCGGUGAAUACGUUCCCGGGCCUU
rnacentral:rRNA from 1 species